rnacentral:rRNA from 1 species
UUAGAGUUUGAUCCUGGCUCAGGAUGAACGCUAGCGGGAGGCUUAACACAUGCAAGUCGAGGGGUAACAGGAGUAGCAAUACUUGCUGACGACCGGCGCACGGGUGAGUAACGCGUAUGUAACCUGCCCUUUACUGGGAGAUAGCCCGAAGAAAUUCGGAUUAAUAUCCCAUAGUUCCUUUUUUUCGCAUGAUUUUUAGGAUAAAGUUUCGACGGUAAAGGAUGGGCAUGCGUACCAUUAGCUAGUUGGUGAGGUAACGGCUCACCAAGGCAACGAUGGUUAUGGGGUCUAAAAGGAUGGUCCCACACACUGGUACUGAGACACGGACCAGACUCCUACGGGAGGCAGCAGUGAGGAAUAUUGGUCAAUGGGCGCAAGCCUGAACCAGCCAUCCCGCGUGAAGGAUGACAGCCUUAGGGUUGUAAACUUCUUUUCUGAAGGAAGAAUAAUUGCGACGUGUCGCAAGAUGACGGUACUUCAGGAAUAAGCAUCGGCUAACUCCGUGCCAGCAGCCGCGGUAAUACGGAGGAUGCAAGCGUUAUCCGGAUUUAUUAGGUUUAAAGGGUGUGUAGGCGGAAUAUUAAGUCAGAGGUGAAAUCCUGCAGCUCAACUGUAGCAAGCCUUUGAUACUGGUAUUCUUGAGUUCGGUUGAGGUAGGCGGAAUGUGU